UUAUUAUAAUAAUAACAAACAAUAGAAAUUUGUUUACUUUUCUAUCUCGAGAGUCCGCUGCGAAAAAUUUGUGUUACCAACAAACUUAGGGAAAAACUCAAAAUUUCUACUAACCUUAAAUAGGUUAUUUCCUCAAAGGCUUCGA